ensembl:snoRNA
ACUGCCCCUAGAGGCGUUGCAGAUGUGGCUACUGUGUCACAUUUGUGUCAUUAGGUGGCAGCGAUUAGAGAGGCUGUGUCUAUGCUCAGCGUUCUGCCCCGUGAAUGUUUGAAUGUUUAAUAGUCUGACACU